rnacentral:rRNA from 1 species
AGCUCCAAUAGCGUAUAUUAAAGUUGUUGCGGUUAAAAAGCUCGUAGUUGGAUUUCUGCUGAGGAUGACCGGUCCGCCCUCUGGGUGAGUAUCUGGCUCAGCCUUGGCAAUUUCCUGAAGAACGUAUCUGCACUUGACUGUGUGGUGCGGUAUUUAGGACAUUUACUUUGAGGAAAUUAGAGUGUUUCAAGCAAGCGCACGCCUUGAAUACAUUAGCAUGGAAUAAUAAGAUAGGACCUCGGUUCUAUUUUGUUGGUUUCUAGAGCUGAGGUAAUGAUUGAUAGGGAUAGUUGGGGGCAUUCGUAUUUAACUGUUAGAGGUGAAAUUCUUGGAUUUGUUAAAGACGGACUAUUGCGAAAGCAUUUGCCAAGGAUGUUUUUAUUGAUCAAGAACGAAAGUA